UACAGAGGGGGCAAGCGUUGUUCGGAAUUACUGGGCGUAAAGAGCGUGUAGGCGGCUAGGUAGGUCCGUUGUGAAAACUCGAGGCUCAACCUCGAGACGCCGAUGGAAACCAUCUAGCUAGAGUCCGGAAGAGGAGAGCGGAACUCCUGGUGUAGCGGUGGAAUGCGCAGAUAUCAGGAAGAACACCGGUGGCGAAGGCGGCUCUCUGGGCCUUACCUGACGCUGAGGAGCGAAAGCGUGGGUAGCGAACAGG
rnacentral:rRNA from 1 species